rnacentral:rRNA from 1 species
UGAAGCUUUACUACAACUUGAUAUUGACACAAGGUUAAUUAUGUUGAGCGUAGGUGGGAGCCGUAAGGCGCCAAUGAGACACCACUCUUAAGUAAUUUUGUGCCUAAUUUUCUCCCAUGAAUCUGGGAAAGAAGACAGUGUCUGGUGGGUAGUUUAACUGGGGCGGUUGCCUCCCAAAAAGUAACGGAGGCGUUCACAAAGGUGUGCUUAGCCCGGAUGGAAAUCGGGCUGGACGUGCAAGCGCAAAAGCAUGCUUAACUGCAAGGCCGACACGCCGCGCAGAUACGAAAGUAGGAGCUAGUGAUCCGACCGUACGAUAUAGGACGGCGGAAGCUCAUCGGAUAAAAGCUACUCUGGGGAUAACAGGCUAGUCUCCCCCAAGCGUCCACAGCGACGGGGAGGUUCGGCACCUCGAUGUCGGCUCAUCGCAUCCUGGAGCUGGAGAAGGUUCCAAUGGUUUGGCUGUUCGCCAAUUAAAGCGGUACGCGAGCUGGGUUCAGAACGUCGUGAGACAGUUCGGUCUCCUAUCUACUAUACACGUCGAUGAAUGCGAGGACUCUUCCCUAGUACGAGAGGACCGGGAAGAACGAACCUCUUGUGUACCGGUUGUUCUGCCAAGAGCAAAAGCCGGGUAGCGAAGUUCGGUUCGGAUAAGCGCUGAAAGCAUCUAAGCGCGAAGCCGACCUCAAGAUUAUUCAUCAUAGACCCCUUAGAGAUUAUGAGGUUGAUAGGCCAUAGGUAGAAGCGUCGUAAGACGUGUAGCCGAGUGGUACUAAUAGGUCAUCGCUCUCCACUC